UACGUAGGGGGCGAGCGUUGUCCGGAUUUAUUGGGCGUAAAGAGCGUGUAGGCGGCCAGGUAGGUCUGCUGUGAAAACUCGAGGCUCAACCUCGAGACGUCGGCGGAAACCAUCUGGCUAGAGUCCGGAAGAGGAGAGGUGGAAUUCCGUGGUGUUGAGCGGUGAAAUGCGCAGAUAUCAGGAAGAACACCCGUGGCGAAGGCGGCUCUCGUGGGAACGGUACUGACGCUGAGACGCGAAAGCGUGGGGAGCGAACAGGG
rnacentral:rRNA from 1 species